UGGGGAAUAUUGCACAAUGGGCGCAAGCCUGAUGCAGCCAUGCCGCGUGUAUGAAGAAGGCCUUCGGGUUGUAAAGUACUUUCAGCGGGGAGGAAGGGAGUAAAGUUAAUACCUUUGCUCAUUGACGUUACCCGCAGAAGAAGCACCGGCUAACUCCGUGCCAGCAGCCGCGGUAAUACGGAGGGUGCAAGCGUUAAUCGGAAUUACUGGGCGUAAAGCGCACGCAGGUGGUUUGUUAAGUCAGAUGUGAAAUCCCCGGGCUCAACCUGGGAACUGCAUCUGAUACUGAAAAGCUUGAGUCUCGUAGAGGGGGGUAGAAUUCCAGGGGUAGCGGUGAAAUGCGUAGAGAUCUGGAGGAAUACCGGUGGCGAAGGCGGCCCCCUGGACGAAGACUGACGCUCAGGUGCGAAAGCGUGGGGAGCAAACAGG
rnacentral:rRNA from 1 species